CAGCUGUUUCCCUUUACACUCGGUCCCUUUCUUCUGAUAGGAAGAAUUGAGGACCAGGCCUUCCUAUAUGACUUUCACAUUUGACGGAACCAAACACUGGCGCCCAGGUGAGAAGGGCUAGGCCUUAAACGAGAGGAACACGUGCGAACUGUUCUCUGGGGCUGCAGGAGCUCACUCCCGCAGGGAGGGAGAAGUGUGUUCACAGCGAGCGAGGCAACCACGUAACAAAUCACGUCUUCUACGUUUGCAGGAGCCAGCUGCCCACCUUGGAACGCGGGCUCGUCUGCUCCGCACCCCUGUGAGUCCUCGUCCCUCAGAGUCACAUUCACAGAAGUCUGAAAACCACAGUCCUGGAGCACAGCAGCAAGAAAACGCUUUCCAGCUGCUCUACUGUACUUGAUGGCCCGAGGAGAAGCCUCCCCCUAAGCUGCUGUCCAGGGCUGGACCUGUGCCACUGGAAACAGAAGAGCAACUUUAUCACUUGACUUCAAGAAGAGCUCUCCCAGCAGCACAUGGAGACGAUGAUGAUGACAGAAUGCAAAGUGACAUCAGGAUCAGAACUGUCCAUCAUAGUUUGGUUUCUGUCAAAUGCACCAAGACAUACGAUGAGGCAAGUCCAACAAUAAUCUCAUGUAAUAUGGAUGUGCGUGGGUCACCAGGUCCUCCAGUGCUUACACCAUUGUCUCAUGACCAAGGAAAAGUUUGUUCACAUCUGUCCCAUGCCAUAAACAACAGAGAAUAACAACAAGUCACGAACACAUCUUCUGAUGAAGAAAUUAAAAGAAGACCCACAAUUGUUCACGAUUUCCGGAGGACUCUUUGAUGAUAGGUAUCAAACAACAAGGCAUGUUAGCUCUUUGAGUCAAAAAGUUCCCUGCUAAGGAAUUUAUCAAAUGGCAGAAAGUGGGAAACACCAGGCUGUUCCACCACACAGGACACGAUUAAAUAAAUCACAGUACAGCUAUGCAAUGAAAUGCUUUGCCAGUGUGAAAAGGACAAUUAAAAACAUGUAACCAGCACAAAAUAAAGUAAUGGAAACAUUCCUA
rnacentral:lncRNA from 1 species